rnacentral:rRNA from 1 species
GACGAACGCUGGCGGCGUGCUUAACACAUGCAAGUCGAACGGAAAGGCCCCUUUGGGGGUACUCGAGUGGCGAACGGGUGAGUAACACGUGAGUAACCUGCCCUUGACUUCGGGCUAACUUCAGGAAACUGGGGCUAAUACCGGAUAGGAAUCCUUGCUGCAUGGUGGGGGUUGGAAAGCUUCGGCGGUUUUGGAUGGACUCGCUGCUUAUCAGCUUGUUGGUGGGGUAGUGGCUUACCAAGGCUUUGACGGGUAGCCGGCCUGAGAGGGCGACCGGCCACAUUGAGACUGAGGUACGGCCCAGACACCGACGGGAGGCAGCAGUGGGGAAGAUUGCACAAAGGGAGGAAGCCAGGUGAGGCAAGGACGCGUGAGGGAGGACGGGCUUCAGGUUGUAAACCGCUUUCAGCAGGGGCGAGGCUUGUGGUGACGGUACAUGCAGAAGAAGCACCGGCUAACUAAGUG